rnacentral:rRNA from 1 species
AAUAGUCAAAACUUUCAACAACGGAUCUCUUGGUUCUGGCAUCGAUGAAGAACGCAGCAAAACGCGAUAAGUAAUGUGAAUUGCAGAAUUUAGUGAAUCAUCAAAUCUUUGAACGCACAUUGCGCCUGCCAGUAUUCUGGCAGGCAUGCCUGUCCGAGCGUCAUUUCCACCCUCAGGCGCCUCGUGCGCCUGCUGUUGGGGCUCUUCUGCGGCUUGGCCGCAGGC